CCGGCGACCGGCGGACGGGUGCGUAACGCGUAUGUAACCUACCUUUGACAGGGGGAUAACAUCGAGAAAUUGGUACUAAUACCCCAUAACAUCACCGGAGGCAUCUUCGGUGGUUGAAAACUCAGGUGGUCAGAGAUGGACAUGCGUUGUAUUAGCUAGUUGGUGAGGUGACGGCUCACCAAGGCGACGAUACAUAGGGGGACUGAGAGGUCAACCCCCCACAUUGGUACUGAGACACGGACCAAACUCCUACGGGAGGCAGCAG
rnacentral:rRNA from 1 species